GGUCCGUUCGUAUAGGGGUUAGUACGCAAGAUUUUCAUUCUUGUAACACGGGUUCGAUUCCCGUACGGACUACAA
rnacentral:tRNA from 4 species